rnacentral:rRNA from 1 species
GUGUCAGCAGCCGCGGUAAUACGGAGGGUGCAAGCGUUGUCCGGAUUUAUUGGGUUUAAAGGGUGCGUAGGUGGUCUGAUAAGUCUGGUUUGAAAGUUGGUCGCUUAACGAUCAAGGGUGGCUGGAUACUGUUGGACUUGAAUGGGGUGGCGGUAGCCGGAAUGGGUUGUGUAGCGGUGAAAUGCAUAGAGAUGACCCGGAACACCGAUUGCGAAGGCAGGCUACUACGCCUUAAUUGACACUGAGGCACGAGAGCAUGGGGAGCAAACAGGAUUAGAUACCCUGGUAGUCCAUGCCGUAAACGAUGAUUACUGGCUGUUGGGUUUUCGGAUUCAGUGGCUAAGCGAAAGCGGUAAGUAAUCCACCUGGGGAGUACGCCGGCAACGGUGAA